AGGGGGAGGGGGAGGUUUCUGUUUUCAGUCUGUUCUUACAGUUUGGCGUAAAAGAACUGAGUAGAUGAUGUUUUUCAUUACUCGCCUGUGUAGCAGCUCUGCGUCUUCCAAAGCGCGAGACUUUUCCGAAGUCUUUCAAAGCGCGCGCAUUUUUCGAAGCGUGAUCUAAACAAUGGUUGCUAUAGUUUUUUCGUCGUGUACGUCGAUUAUACAUUCCAAGCCUAAACCUUAUAGGGAAAAGACUGUCGAAAAAUGUCGCAAAACAACCGGAGGACAAGUGGAUCCAAGUUCACCGGAUGCCCGAAAGGUGAGUCUGAGGCGAGUUGCGCUUGUGGGAUUCGUGCGUGUGUCCCGCGGGCCCUUUUCAGCCGCGAAUGGAUUAGUCCAUGAUUGCCGACAAGACAUUCAAACAUUUUCUAUGUUAACUUAUUAGAUUUUAUAAUUUCCUUCAACAGCCUCAAAGAUCCGGCAGUUGGAAUCGGCUCUGGAUUAUGCCCACCGUGCUAUUCGAAGCUUGAACAAAGAUCUCAGAAAUCUUGGGGUAGGUAUUUGAUGCGCUGAAAAGGGGACUGGUUUAUAAACAAUUCUUACGAGAGCUUCUGAAUAUUUCUGGAUCGAGAAUGAUGUCCUCAGAUCAGGUCUACAGGACGGAAACCGGGUCCUAGCGGAAGAGCAAAGAAAUGCAGAACUCCUAC